CGGACGGGUGAGUAAUGUCUGGGAAACUGCCUGGUGGAGGGGGAUAACUACUGGAAACGGUAGCUAAUACCGCAUAACGUCGCAAGACCGAAGAGGGGGACCUUCGGGCCUCUUGCCAUCGGAUGUGCCCAGAUGGGAUUAGCUAGUAGGUGGGGUAACGGCUCACCUAGGCGACGAUCCCUAGCUGGUCUGAGAGGAUGACCAGCCACACUGGAACUGAGACACGGUCCAG
rnacentral:rRNA from 1 species